GACGAACGCUGGCGGCGUGCUUAACACAUGCCAGUCGAACGGUGAAGCGCCUUCCUUUUUGGUGGGUGUGGUUGAGUGGCGAACGGGUGAGUAACACGUGCGUAACCUGCCCCCUUCUUCUGGAUAACCGCAUGAAAGCUUGGCUAAUACGGGAUCUUCUGGGUCUGUCGCAUGGUGGGUCUGUGUAAGCUAUUGGUUCGGGGGGGGAUGCGCUCGCGGCCUAUCAGCUUGUUGGUGGUGUGAUGGCCUACCAAGGCGGUGACGGGUAGCCGGCCUGGGGGGGUGGACGGUCAGAGUGGGACAGAGACAAGGCCCAGACUGAGACGGGAGGCAGCAGCGGGGAGGAGUGCACAGUGGGCGAAAGUCUGAUGCGGGGGGGCGGCGGAAGGGACGGAGGCGUUCGGGUGGUGAACCUCUUUGGCCAGUGAAGCAGGUCUGCCUCGUGUGUGGGUGGGUUGACGGUAGCUGGAUAAGAAGCGCCGGCUAACUACGUG
rnacentral:rRNA from 1 species